CAUUGAGUGCAACGGGCCUCUCACCUAUCCUACACCUCAAACGGUGUUUCUUGACAGAGUCAGACUAGAGUCAAGCUCUACAGGGUCUUCUUUCCCCGC